rnacentral:rRNA from 1 species
UACGAGGGGAGCAAGCGUUGUUCGGAUUUACUGGGCGUAAAGGGCGCGUAGGCGGCCACCGCAAGUCGACUGUGAAAUCUCCGGGCUUAACCCGGAAAGGUCAGCCGAUACUGCGGGCUAGAGGUGCAGAAGGGGCAACUGGAAUUCUCGGUGUAGCGGUGAAAUGCGUAGAUAUCGAGAGGAACACCUGCGGCGAAGGCGGGUUGCUGGGCUGACACUGACGCUGAGGCGCGAAAGCUAGGGGAGCGAACGGG